AUAAUCUCAACACCUGAGAAGCUUGUCUGCACAGUGGCCAGUUCAAAGAUUUACAUAUUGUCCAAUGUAUGUCAAUGAGAAGAAAUAUUUGGUAAGAAGAUAGACUAAGAUGCACGGUGAAAUCAGAUAAAGAGGUCAACGAAACAAUGAUAUAUUGCUCAUUUUUCACACAAUGAUACAUUGGGAACUUUCGCAAACAGAGAAACAAGAAUAAUUCAAUCUAUUACUGGGAUUGUUUCUUGGGGGGACAGAGUUAUGGAAUUUUGCUAUUGACUGGGAUUGUUUCCUUUAGCAUUGUUUGACUGCCUUAAUGCUACUUGGCUAGGUUUUGGGCAAUUGGAGGUCAAUAACAAAGGAAAAAGCAUAAUUUGGGGUAGAAGACUAGCCGGGAUAAGGUAAGAACUUGCUUAACCUCGACUUGAGGGAAUGUUUUCUAAAAAUGAAAUUAUAUGCUACAUGCUAUGUGUUUGGGGGUGUGACAUAUAUGCAAGGUGACGAGCAUAUACGCGGGUACGAAUGUUAUAUCAUAUUCGGGGUAGAUUUUAGACUUCUUUAUGCCUGCUGGUAGGAGGUAGCAUGUACCCGAUAGAAUUAGUCGAAGUGCGCCGGGUUAUUUAUGGUUCAAUUUGGGUCGGUUUUUCCCUAAAAAGAAACCAAACCAACUAAGCCGGUUUUUCAAAUAUUGGAACCAAACCAAACCAAUUAAGUCGGUUUUUUAUCGAUUCGGUUUUUGUGGGAUUUUAAGGUUUUUCGGUUAUUUAUAAGUUUUUUUCUUAAAUAUGAGACAUACACUACAAAUGCAUAUUCUGGCAACUACAUUUUUAACGUAACACUAUCAAAUCAAUUGCUCUUUGAGAAAUCUAUCAUUUACCAAGAUAUAUUGAUAAUAAUGAAUCAAAUAGUGAUAAUAAUUUAAAUCCUAAAUUAAAAAUUGAAUAGUUUUAACAUAGAAUAAAUUCUUAUACUUAGCAAAAGAAAACUAUCAACCAAACUAGAAUAUAAAAGCAAAGAAUUAGAUUAUUAUAAUACCAAAGAACUAGACUAAAAAUAUAAAUGCUAAUAUCUGCCAUCAAAUUUUAGAAACUUUAUAUAAAAAUACGCAUAUAUAGGUGUAAUAAUAAAUUUAAAUAGCUAUUUUUAUAGUCGGUUUGGUUCGGGUUUUUUUCGAUUUUUUUUUUUUUUUUGAUUAAAACCAAAACCAAACCUAAAAAGUAUCGGUUCUUUUGGUCGGAUUGGUUCGGUUUUCAUGUUGGUUCAGUUUUCGAAUUUUUAUGAACACCCCCGUGCGCGCAAGCUAACCCGCAAACCACCGUUAUAAAAAAAAUAUAUCAUGAUCAGUGAAGUACUGUAAAAACUGCUGCCCUAUGUGCUGGUCGAUGUGAGAUAGACUGAUAUAAGCCCUGAUGGGCAGGAGGGUGGAUUGUUCGACAUAAAGAGAUUAUGAUGAAACCACCAGAUGAAGGACCUGGCAAAGGGGAGGUUGGCUCGUCUGCUGUGCAAAGGACAUGGUAAGAAAGAUUGUGAUACGACAAGGUAAGGGGGAGGCUAGCUUGUCCACCAUGAGAAAGAUGUGCUGAAACUAAAUUGAUUUGAGUUUGAGCUUUGUCGAUCGGGUGGUUGGGUCGAUCAUCACAUUAAUGGCGAACCAGAAUGAAAAGCUUAGGUGAAGUUGCUGAAGAAUAUGAAUUGUUAUGCCUAAGAAUUAACUCUGAUUUCAAAGAACAAUUUCAAUCAUGAAUAUCAAAACAUGUGAAAUAUUUGAAAAGCUAUGUAACAUAUAUGAUUAUGAUUUGUAAAACUGUAUGCAUGUUUUCUCGAAAAUUUGUCCUACCUUUUGGAGAGGGAGGUAUGAGACUUACUGAGUACAUGUUGUGUUCAUGGAGAAUCAGAGAAAUUCAACAAAUCUCGAGAUCCAGAAACCUAUUUAUACGCCUAGCCUUAAGCAAAAGAAAUAUCAUUAGUCCUACCAUAGAAUUCAGCCUUGAAAGUAUGCUGCACACAACAACAACCACCCAGUGAGAUCCCAUAGCCUUGAAAGUACGCUGCAUCUUUAGCGCAAAUCGAAACAUUUCUCAAAAUAAAAAGGAAUCCUCCUCUUGAGGUUGGUAAGCUAGCCCAAAACCAUGUUAAUGGGAAAAAAGUAUGAGGAAAUUAAAAGAGACCUUGAUGUCUUCACCCUAAGCGCAUGCCAGGAAACUCCUCCUCUCAUGAUUGGAG
rnacentral:lncRNA from 1 species